UUCAAAAUUGAGUAACCAUUUUUUCCAACUCAGUUUUUUGAGUUCUGGGAAUAAAAAUUGUCAAAAACUUUUAUAAAUUCAGUAACAUUUCCUACAAAAUUUCAUUUCCGAAGACAUGCAAUUAACCGGGCAAGUAUCCAGUCGCGCCUUGCACAGCCAUGUUGAUAUACAAAUAUAUUGAAAUCUGCAUUUGAAUUGAUGAUUUAUAACAUAUAUUAUCGGAAAUCGAUGUAGCAAUACCUUUGAAAUCUCUCUGAGCUUUACAACUCAAGUUCUCCCCCCCGAACACUGUGAGCAUUAAAUCAUUUCGACUCCAGGCAAAUGCUGUUAAAAUAAAUUCCCCCGUUCAAACCAACUGGAACACAUUGUCAUUGUCAACUCGCCAUGGACUUCUCUGUCGGCUGCAGCAGUGCGAGAAUGCUGGCUGCUAUGCAAGCAGGCGGGCGGGGUGGCGGAUGGAUGGCCGGAGAAUGUUACGGAAAAAAGUAUUUGUGUGCGGUUUUAUUUGUUUGGUUGGAAGACUUCCCUUUAUCAGCAGCGUAGUCGAGUUGAAUACCCACAUAUUGCGCGAAUAUUUACUGCAGCUUGUUAACAUCACAAUACAUGGGUUUUGGUGUUGAGCCUCUCUCUCUCCCCCUUCCCACCCAGGACCGGUGGCGCGUAAUUUGGCCAUGGUGAAAAUCUUCAGAGGAAAUACCAAUUUUUCGGCAAUAUGCUGCUUGUUUGCGCUAAAAAUUGAAAUGCGGGUGCGUUUUUUGUGUGAGUUUGCAUUGUUUGCAAAAUUUCUUGGAAUGUAAACAAAUUUUUGUGAAUAUUUACGACAUAUGCAAAAUAUUCUCACAGGAUAUGGCACUUCAGCCAGCCAGCCAGUCAGCCACCCAGUCAGUCAAUCAGUCAGUCGAAAGUGAAUGUUUUCACAGACAGUGAUACCAAACUGUUGUGGAAAGUUGCAAUAAAUUUCCUAUUCCAGUGAAAAGAAACACAAAACAAAAUUGAUUCAAAAUCAACAAGAAUUAAACAUA